CUACGGGAGGCACCAGUGAGGAAUAUUGGACAAUGGAUGGAAAUCUGAUCCAGCCAUGCCGCGUGCAGGAAGACGGCCCUAUGGGUUGUAAACUGCUUUUCUACGGGAGCAAUAAGGUCUACGAGUAGACUGAUGAGAGUACCGUAGGAAUAAGCAUCGGCUAACUCCGUGCCAGCAGCCGCGGUAAUACGGAGGAUGCGAGCGUUAUCCGGAUUUAUUGGGUUUAAAGGGUGCGUAGGCGGCUUUUUAAGUCAGCGGUGAAAUUUUGCAGCUUAACUGUAACAGUGCCGUUGAUACUGAGAGGCUAGGAUUUGGUUGCUGUGGGUGGAAUGUGUGGUGUAGCGGUGAAAUGCUUAGAGAUCACACAGAAUAUCGAUUGCGAAGGCAGCUCACAAAGCCAAGAUUGACGCUGAGGCACGAAAGUGUGGGGAUCAAACAGGAUUAGAUACCCUGGUAGUC
rnacentral:rRNA from 1 species